rnacentral:rRNA from 1 species
UGAGUAAGCGGCGGACGGGUGAGUAACGCGUAGGAAUCUACCUAGUAGUGGGGGACAACUCGGGGAAACUCGAGCUAAUACCGCAUACGCCCUACGGGGGAAAGCGGGGGACCUUCGGGCCUCGUGCUAUUAGAUGAGCCUGCGUUGGAUUAGCUAGUUGGUGGGGUAAAGGCCUACCAAGGCGACGAUCCAUAGCUGGUCUGAGAGGAUGAUCAGCCACACCGGGACUGAGACACGGCCCGGACUCCUACGGGAGGCAGCAGUGGGGAAUAUUGCGCAAUGGGCGAAAGCCUGACGCAGCCAUGCCGCGUGUGUGAAGAAGGCCUUCGGGUUGUAAAGCACUUUCAAUUGGGAGGAAAGGUUCACGGUUAAUAACCGUGAGCUGUGACGUUACCUUUAGAAGAAGCACCGGCUAACUCCGUGCCAGCAGCCGCGGUAAUACGGAGGGUGCGAGCGUUAAUCGGAAUUACUGGGCGUAAAGCGCGCGUAGGUGGUCUGUUAAGUCGGAUGUGAAAGCCCCGGGCUCAACCUGGGAACUGCAUCCGAUACUGGCAAACUAGAGUGCGGGAGAGGGAGGUAGAAUUCCAUGUGUAGCGGUGAAAUGCGUAGAUAUGUGGAGGAAUACCAGUGGCGAAGGCGGCCUCCUGGCUCGACACUGACACUGAGGCGCGAAAGCGUGGGGAGCAAACAGGAUUAGAUACCCUGGUAGUCCACGCCGUAAACGAUGUCUACUAGCUGUAGGGGUACUUGAGACCUUUGUAGCGCAGCUAACGCAAUAAGUAGACCGCCUGGGGGAGUACGGCCGCAAGGUUAAAACUCAAAUGAAUUGACGGGGGCCCGCACAAGCAGUGGAGCAUGUGGUUUAAUUCGAUGCAACGCGAAGAACCUUACCAGGCCUUGACAUCCUCGGAACUUUCUAGAAGAUAGAUUGGUGCCUUCGGGAACCGAGUGACAGGUGCUGCAUGGCUGUCGUCAGCUCGUGU